rnacentral:tRNA from 1 species
GCCUGGGUGGCUUAGUCAGUAGAGCAUCUGACUUCAGCUCAGGUUGAUUUCACAGUUCAUGGGUUUGAGCCCAGUGUUGGGCU